UACGGGGGGGGCAAGCGUUGUUCGGAAUUACUGGGCAUAAAGGGCUCGUAGGUGGCCAACUAAGUCGGACGUGAAAUCCCUCGGCUUAACCGGGGAACUGCGUCCGAUACUGGUUGGCUUGAGUUUGGGAGAGGGAUGCGGAAUUCCAGGUGUAGCGGUGAAAUGCGUAGAUAUCUGGAGGAACACCGGUGGCGAAGGCGGCAUCCUGGACCAAUACUGACGCUGAGGAGCGAAAGCCAGGGGAGCAAACGGG
rnacentral:rRNA from 1 species